GAGAUAAUUAUUAAGGCAUUUCUAUUUUGGAGCCCUUCUGUGUGUAGUUCAGAACAAAAAUGCUGUGUUAGAUGAAAACCAUCUGGUGUCAACAAAAACCAUCCCUGUGGUCAAGCAACAGCUUGGGACAAGUGGAUGUUGUUUGAAAAGUCACUGGGCCAGAAGCAGGGUUGAUUCCAGCCUCUGAAACGGGCACGAAUUCUUCUCUCGUAAUAAGAAAGGUGCCACCCAAACGUGCAGAGUCCCGCUUGUCUCAAGUUUAGUUUUUACUGCUGAAUGGUGAAGCAAGAUGACAGCAUCAGCAGAAGAGCUGUUAUCAAGUAUCACUGCCUGCAUCCUGUGGUUGUGCCGUACUGGACCAUGGGCAGCCUGGCUCCAGCCAAGUGCACAGCUCAGGCUCUGUGCAGUACUGCACAUCCUAAUUCAGCAUCAAACCUCUGAAUUCCCAUACGUGUGCCAUGAACAAGAGGAGUCUCCAGGAGGAAAAAAAAAAAAGCAAAGAAUGGGGAAAAAAAUGAGAAGGAAGGUCACAAAGCAGGAGCCCAGGUUGGCUUAGUCCCUGAUUAUGCUUUGGACUAGAGGCCAGGAUUUUCCCAUUGACAUGGACAAAUUGGUCUACUUUAUUGCAUUCUGGAGAUUUGAUCCUCCUCUGCAGUCUGCUGGGCAACUUCCAAAGGAUAGAAUUGGAUUCCUCACCAUAAAGUUUCUCCUUCCAAGAUGGAAAGGGCUUUUAUGGCAAAGUAUAAAAUCAAAAAACAAGCUGUCACUCGCAUUUGCUGCACUGCUCUUUCUGUGCACUGUAAGAAGCACUCUCAGGGUUUUGAAGCCUGCUGUAUUAAGUGUGAGAUGGUGAAAAGGUCAUGACAGAAGGGCUGGUGAGAUUGAGAUUGAGUGCAGGAGCAUUCUGCAAGGAGGUGACUUGCCUGCUCCAAAUGCCCUGAGAAGUGAAGGCGAGAGCCUUAGCACAGCAUUGUGCUACCUGUGUCUUCUCCAUCCCUGCUACCUGCAUCCCUCCUUGCACAACCAGACCAUGGCUUUCAGGGUGACUGAUGUCCCCAUCAAGGAACAGUUUGUGACAAAGGAAUACAUCUUCCAUGAGGAGGAUGACCAGGAAUUGGACAACAUGAACUGAAGAAAACAUCUCCUGCCUCAGCAAUGGGCUCCCAAACCAAAACAGACAUUACUGCCUGGAAGUAAUUCGGAGGAACUCUACCAGCAAGUGUGAAAUGAAUGCAAAUGUGCAGCUUCUUUAGACUUAAUUGUAGAAGAGCAUCUGUUUACAUUUCAUUUCAGUACUACAGUGAACCCUCAUCUAUUGGGAAGUUUGCAGCCUGCAAAGAUAGCAUGUUGUUGAGUGGUUUUGAAAAGAAUAUACCAUCAUUCACCAGGUUCAUGCUGCUUGCCUCUAUUCAGCCACUCACCAGAGCCACCCUAUCGAAACUACAACUGUGGAUGUAAGCAUUUCUGAGAGCUGUAAUUGAACUCCCCAUCACAACCUUUAAAGCAAUCAUUUUGAUUACUCUUAGCUUAGCAAUUAUGGCUGAGUGACACAUUUUCAGCUUUGGAAAAUGAUAUGCCUAGCCCAGCUACCCUAUGCAUAAGUGUCUCAUAUACAUAUAUCCACAUAGAUAUACAUAUUUACCAGCUUUCACGUGCUAAAUGGUUUCUAAGCUCCUGCCUGCCAAGGAGCUGGCUGAUCCAUGAGCAGGAUUCCUGUUGGAUGGCUGCAUGAUGUGUGCCAACAGCUCCCUCUGGGUUUUUUGUCUGAGAUUUACUUCAGUUGCAGAAAAAUCAGGGAACGUCUUUGUUCCCAGAAGUACUCCUGGCAGCCGACCUUGGAUCACGACCCAUCAUCGCAGCCCAGUUGCACAGUCUCUAGACAGCAUCUCCUCGGGGCCAGCACAACCUGGGGUGAUGAGACAAGCUCUGUAAUGGAAACGAUUGUGCCUUUGUGUCUGGGCAGCCAGCAAGUGUCAUUCUUUGAAACACAGCGGCUAUUUCAGAAAGAGCAUCUCUAGCGGAGAUGCAGCAGUUUUCCAGGGCACCAUGGAGACAUCCAGUUGCAUAACCCUGACAGUCACUGGGAGACAGUCUGCUGGCAAGCAUUACUGAUACCCCCCGCUCCUGCUCAGCAUGAAGUCCCAAUGACCUCAGCCCUUGGCCGCCUUGUCCACCUCCAACAAGGAAUGUUAGAGAGAACAUCUCAGGAGCCCCUCCCAUAAGCUAUGAACCAAAGCCCUUAAUUUUACAGCUACUAAAAUAUACCAAAGUUCAACACAAUAGCUUUUCAAGUUGACUAACUGGUACGUGGGAGCCAAAAAGCAGGAGCCAUGUAGAUUUAUCAUGUCGUUAAAGGGAACUGGGGUGAGUGUUAGGCAGAGGAUGGAGAUUGCGAGCCCGGAGCUGAGGGCAACAGCUUUAUGAUGAGUUUCACCAUCUGAAAGCCUGGUGUUGUGCACUGCAGCAACCAGCGUUGAGCUCGUCAGAUCUCAGAUUUGCAGCAGGCUGCUUUGCUUCUUUGUUCAUCAAAACAGGGAAGAAAUAGUGGAGCACUUUGGAAAAAUCCUGGAGAAUCUGGUAGAGAUGGAAUUGAGGGUGCUUAGGAACUUGCAGAGUCCAAGGCAGAAAUUACUGUAAAUACUUGUUGAAUUUAGUAAGUGUUUUUAUGCUUCCUGUUGGGUUAUUUUUAACACUCUUGUAGGAUUCCAUAGUGGGAUAUGAUUAUGCAUUAAAUUUUAAUGGUUGUUU
rnacentral:lncRNA from 7 species